UACAGUAUUUAUUAAUCUUUGUUAAUGUUAGUUGAUAAAAAUAACAUUUUUCAUUGUUAAUGUUAGUUCAUAGUACCUUAAUGUAAACAUCAUACUUUUGAUUUUAAAAAUCAUAUGUUAAAAUUAACAUUAACCAAGAUUAAUAAAUGCUGUAAAAUUAUUAUUCAUUGUUAAAGGUGCAGUAUGUAACAAUUUUCAUGUAAUAUUCACCUUUUUAUUUUAUUUUAUUUAUUUUUUUUUUUUGUCAAUGUGUGAACAGCUUGUAACGCAACUUAAAAAAUGAGCCCUUCCCAGACUUCCUAGGUUGCCUAUUAAAGACUGUAGACUGAUUUUCAUGAGAAGGGAGCGGGUCGGUUUUGCCGGGAUAAUCCAAAGGAUGUGACGUUUAUGCGCGAUCCUGAGAGCCUUGCCACAGUGCUUCUCUUCCACUAUUCAACAGUGACAACAAAUUGCAACACUAGGUAACGUUAUCUUAGAGAUGGAAUCCAGCAAACGGCCGGCUCCCAGCACAACACCGACUCCUACACAAACACCGAGUAAGCCAAAAAAACCCCAAAACAUUUAUCUACUGAAUCCCGUCUGGCUAAGUGGGAACGUGAUUGUGGUCGAGCGAAAACUAGAGUGAACGUCAGGAGGGCAUUUGAUUCCAAUAAUUUCAACGAUCUUCUCUUUAUACUAAAAAUUAGGUAUAAAAGAUAAAUUUAAGCAAAUACACUUGUUUCUUGAUCAUAGUACAACAUAUGACAUACAAAACAUACCAUAGUGCAACAUAACAGUGCAGUGCAACAGUAAACAGUCUGGUAUAGUCGGUAGUAUGUAGCUGUAAGUGUGUAAGUGUCAGUAUGCUAUGUUAGCUGAUAAGUAGUUUUAGUUUAGUCUCAAAGUUUGUGGUAAAACAAUCAUAAUUGUGUCAUUUUAAUUAUGCUACCCCUGUCAGCAUGAUGCCGGUGGAUCACGUUCAGUCUCUUUGUACGUUACGUCAUUGUUUUGGGGAGAACCAACUAACCUUCAAGCUAUUUCAUCAAAGCACUAUCUGCAGUCCCCAGGUGGGCAUGGAUGAUGGAAAGGAUGUGACCCUUUAGAGAAUUUGUGUGUUGGGGUAUGACAGAGGAACAGUUCCCAUCCUUGGGUGUCAGGUUACCAGCUUCCCCCUAUGGAGAGGUGUAACUACACAGAGUCACCUCUGUGACCCUUGUUAAAAGGGCGUGGCGUGAAGCUGACCCCGCCCCUGCAAGCUCUUCAACCUCUGAGAAAGCUUCCUGCAAAAAGGGCAGGAGCUUACAGGUUCUCUCGGCUAGAAAGAACACAAUCAACAUCGGUAAGGUAAAAGUAUGUAAGGCAACAGAGAUAUUUAAGUGUUUUUGUGUUUGUACGAGCAUAAGCACGAGCAACAGGUAGCUGGCUGCAGUUCACUUAACAGGUGUCAUUAAUAACAAGGGUUUCUGAAUCUUACAUACUGCACCUUUAAUGAACUCAUGUUGUUUAUGUUAACAAAUGGAAACUUAUUUUAAAGUGUUACCACAAUAUUACUACAGUAAAACCAUAGUUAAACUAUGGUAUUUGCAUAGUAAAACCAUGAUACCAAUGAAAAUUAUGAUUUUUAUUACCAUAGUUUUCGCUUUCCUGUAUUAUCACUAUGGUUUCACUACGAAUAUCAUGGUUAAAAUAUGGUUACUGUAGUAAAACCAUGGUCAUUUUAUUGCGAGGGCAUGCAAAACUAUUUCAGAAAAAUUUACCAUCCUGUCCUCUAAGGGACAGCCGGUUAGAAGUUUUCCUAAAUGUUCUCCCAGGCAAGCUUUCCGAAUCACCGAAACGAAUGCAAAACACCUUCUUUUUGGCCAUAUUUUGUUCUAAAUGACGUCAUACCUGUUCGUUCUUCAAUUUGUAUUAAGUAUAUCUGGACUUUUAUGCAGACACCUGUAGAACAAUCACCAAAUUACACUUAAUAUACGUAAAGGAAUAUACCCAAAAAAGAUUUUUAGAAGAAUAUCUCAGCUCUGCAGGUCCCCACAAGGCAAGUGAAUGGGUACCAAAAUUUUAAAGCUCCAAAAUGCACAUAAAUGUAGCAUAAAAGUAAUCCAUAAGACUUCAGUGGUUAAAUCUUUAUCUUCAGAAGCGAUAUGAUAUGUGUGGCUAAGAAACACAUCAAUAUUUAAGUCAGUUUUCCAUAAAUUCUUUUCCUUGCCCUGUAGGUGGUGAUAUGCACGAUGAAUGCAAAUCACCAAAAACAAAAUAUUGUGAAAGUGAAAGUGGAUUUAAUCACUGGAGUGAAUGAAAAUGAAAAAUGAAAGUUUGAAACCGUUUUUCUAUUUUUGCAUUUAGACUGGUAUGGUCUGAAAACUGAAAUGUGAAGCGUUACACAGCAUUACCUACUCAAACAUUGUUAUUUGUCAUUAUGCAUUUGUGCCUCAUAUUUAAUAUUUAUACUCUGUCACAGUUGUUCUUUGUUCUGUGUUAGUGCUGUGAGCAAAGCACCACAUAAAUAUGCAAAAAAAAAAAAUAUUCUUUUAUUAUUACUAAGUUAAGCUGUAGCUAGGUAGCAAAUAUAGAUUUGGGUGUUGUUGGGGAAGCAGUUUUUAAUGUUUUAAAGUUUUUAAUGCAAGUUUUUUAUAUAACAAUCUCAUUUAGGGUGAGCAUAAAACAUGAACAGAUAUUUAGACCAAAUACAUCUAUAAAAUUAGACUACAAACUAAUUUAUUACAAAAGUAUAGCGUAAUGUUUGCAGGAACGAGAGGAGAGAAAGAGGGUCUAAGUGCAGGCCUUUUUAAUAUAAACACAGUAAAUAAACACAAGAAACAAAAACUUGAGAACAGAACAAACCACUACAGCCAUGAAUUGAUAAGAACUGACAAAGAACACAGGGGAAAACAGGGAUUAAAUACACAAGGACUAACAGGGUUAAAUGACACAACUGGGAGUAAUAAACACAAGAACAACGACAAGGAAAAGAACUAUAAAACACAUAAUAAAAUGAAAGACACAAAGUACAUAGUGACCACUGGUGGUCGCCAGGGUAAACCUAACAGAGCCCCCCCCCCCAAGGAGUGGCUCUAUAUCUGAAGCUCUUUAACACACACAAAAUAGUUAAUGGGAGGAGCAGGAGAUUAUGGAGCUGGCAGUCCAGCAGAGCACAGGAGGGGAAUAAGAAGAGCUGAAGGCCAAGGGUGAAUCCGGAGAGACUGCUGGAGGGUGAGAUGGACCAGGCGGCGAAGGCGGAGUGGGCAGAGGGUCCGGAGACCAACAGAAACCAGGAGACCAGGGCAGAGAGCCUGGAGACAGACGUGGACCAGGAGACUAAGGCAUAGUCGGCGGAGGGCCCGGAGACCAGGGCGGACGGCCAGGAGACCAGGGCGGACCAGGCGGACAGCCAGGAGACCAGGGCGGACCAGGCCAGACCAUGCGGACGGCCAGGAGACCAGGGCGGACCAGGCCAGACCAUGCGGACGGCCAGGAGACCAGGGCGGACCAGGCCAGACCAUGCGGACGGCCAGGAGACCAGGGCGGACCAGGCCAGACCAUGUGGACAGCCAGGAGACCAAGGCGGACCAGGCGGAGCAGCAGAUGACCACUGGGAACCUGGUGGAUGGCCGUUAGAAGCUGGCAUGGUCCAGGCAACAGGGGAAUUAGAAAGCUCAGAAGUGAGAACAGCUGGGGACUCAUAGGGCCCAGAGGUCAAGCCAACAUGGAUCAGAGUAGGAGGAGACUCGGAGAGCGAGGCACUGGGGAGCAAGGCACUAGGCAGCUUGGAACUCAGAGGGCUCAUAGACCAGAGAAACUGAGGAUUCAAGGAACAGAGCCAUGGGAAACUCGAGGUGCGGAGCCGCAGGCGGAAGAUUCUCAGGAGGAGAAACGGACGGAGCAGCUGGACCGGGGUCAUAUUGUAAGGGGGUGGCUAAUGUGCACUGAACAAACUGGUAGCGUUUGUCUGACAGGUGCUGGCCACAGGACUGAGCAACAGACUAUUCAACGACUGCUGGGGACUGGACAGGCCCAAAGGUCUCCGGGGCCUGGAUGGGCUCGUCGACGGCCUCGGGGAACUGGACUGGCUCGUUGAUGGCCUCCGUGGCUGGGAGCGCUGGCAGCGACUGGGGAAUUCCUCCGUGGCCGGGAGCGCUGGCAGCGACUGGAGAGUUGGAGCCCUUCUCCUCCUCCUCCAGACGGCCGGGAGCACUGCUGUAGGAACAACAUCUGUGGCCGAGAACACUGGCACUGGGACGGCAGAGGCUUCAGGUGCUAGCUCUGGGAUGACAGAGGGAUUACUGCCAUACCCCAGGAGCUGGCUCGUUGACAGUGGCAGGCAUGGGCACUGGCUCGUUGACUGUGGCAGGUGUAGGCACUGGCAGUGGCAUGGGAUUACUGCCAUACCCCAGGAGCUGGCUCGUUGACCGUGGCAGGUGUGGGCGCUGGCUUGUUGACUGUGGCAGGCACUGGCAGCGGCAUGGGAUUACUGCCAUACCCCACAGUGUAAGGGGAAAAUGUGAGCCUGAAAGCAUAGUCAGUGAACUCAAUCAAGGAAGAUCACAUCUGCUGUCCUGGCAGACAGGAUUUCACAGGCUCAUUGAGUCCAAAACGAUAACAGUCCUUGAGAGCAAUAUCUCCCCAUUUGAGAACCUGGGUGAGACUGCAGGACUGCUCUGUAUACUGCUCAAUGGUACCGCCUCCUUGUCUGAGAGACAACAGUUGCAACGCCGCUAGAUCCAUAGUGUGGUUCAGUUUUCUGUAAUGUUUGCAGGAAUGAGAUGAGAGAAAGAGGAUCUCAGUGCAGUCCUUUUUAAUAUAAACUCAGAAAAUAAACACAAGAAACCAAAAACUUGAGCAAAGAACAAACCACUACAGCCAUGAAUUGAUAAGAACUGACAAAGAACACAUGGCUUAAAUACACAAGGACUAAUAGGGUUAACAAGACACACCUGGGAGUAAUAAACACGAGAACCAAUGAACAACGACAAGGAAAAGAACUACAAAACCCAUAAUCAAAUGAAAGACACAAAGUGAACAAUAAACAUAUAUAGCGACCCCUGGUGGUUUCCAGUUUAAUCCGUACACAUAGUAAUGAACAGCGGCAUUCUGUCUCAUUUUGCUUGAAAUCAGCCAUACCAUAUCAGUAUGUUGACCUUUAGGACCUUAACAUUUCUUGUCACCGGCUGUCUUAAUUUUCUUGGAAGAAAUUAGCACUGUAGGUCAUUUGUUCACAUGACUAUAGUCGUUUAUAAUUGCUUUGACACAAAAUGCAUUGAGUAAGCCUUGUAGAUCAAAAUAGUUUGCAUUAAUUUGCUAUUGAAUGAUAUUACUCUCAAAUGCAAUGUUCAUUAUGUAAAUCCCUACAAGCUAAAUAGAACAAACAACAAUCACAAUAACCUGUCACACAUAUAUUAGAUACAUAAUAGUUAUGUUGUACUAGUUGUCAGAUGGAUAGACUUAGGCUUGAUGGGGAACAAUUCAAUUUCCUCACAAUUUAGAGCAAAGUAUGUACAGGUAAGAAUUCAUCAUUGUACACUACACAGUGCUGUAAUCUCCUUGUCUUUCAGUAUUGACAGGUACAACCUGUAUAUGUAGAAUAUGUUACACAAUGUGGGAUAUGUGUAUGAUUUACAAUAUCUACUGUAAAUUAUUUCCUAAAUUGCUAAAUUACUUUACUAUCUUUUAUAGAGAGUGAUAGAGCUGGAGGUUGAUGAAUCCCCACACAUUUUUGUGUAUGUUGAUGAGGCAGGAUUCAACUUGACCAAAUUUAGUAGACGUGGCCAUAAUAUUAUUGGUCACCGAACCACUGUUGAUGUGCCAGGCCAGCGUGGAGGGAACAUUACAAUGUGUGCUGCCAUAUGUGGGAAUGGUGUACUCAGCCACAUUCCCAUCAUUGGGCCCUAUAACACACAACAUCUCCUCAAUUUCCUGGAAACUCUUUACAGGGAUCUCAUUCCUGAGAAUGAGAGGGGGUUGGUAAGAAAUGACUUGCCAAUAUAUGUUACUGUAUAGUUUGGGACAAUGUAAGUUUCCAUCAUUCAAAUACAGUCAGGGAAUGGUUUGUUGCCCACCCACCCAAUGGGGAGUAUGAUGGAGUUUCUCCCUCCAUACUCCCCAUUCCUAAAUCUCAUUGUGGAGUUCUUUUCUGCAUGGAGUUGGAAGGUCUAUGAUCACCGUCCUCACAACCAGUUGUCCUUACUUCUUUCUAUUUCUUCUGCUCCAAACUUACUUCAAAUGUACUUCUCUGACUGCUCGUAUGAAUGUAAAACUUCAUAAGAAAGUGUUUCACCGCUGUUCAAAUGCACUUUGGAUCGCAUCAUUUAUAUGUAUAAAUGUUUUCCAUCUGAAAGGACUAAAUAUUAAAUGAAACAAAUGACAAUAAAAUGCAAAUUAAUCUCUUCAGUAAUCAAAAUACUUUUUUAAUGCAACUGUAUUCUAAUUAUAAAUGAUUUAAACUGUAACUGUAGUGGAAUACAGUUACUAAUAUUUUGUAUUUUAAAUACGUAAUCCUGUUACAUGUAUUCCGUUACUCCCCAACCCUGUCAGUAGAGUAUGUCAUGUGUGUUUAAAGCUACAACCUGUCUUGCAUCGACUUGUAAGUCAGUGGUAAAAUACGCUGGCCACCACCCCUGGAAUUCGCUAGUUCGCUAGUUCGAAUCCCAGGGCAUGCUGAGCGACUCCAGCCAGGUCUCCUAAGCAACUAAAUUGGCCCGGUUGCUAGGGAGGGUAGAGUCACAUGGGGUAACCUCCUCGUGGUCGCUAUAAUGUGGUUCGUUCUUGGUGGGGCGCGUGGUGAGUUGGGCGUGGUUGCCGCAGUGGAUGGCGUGAAGCCUCCACACGUGCUAUGUCUCCAUGGCAACGCGCUCAACAGGUCACGCGUUGACAGACGCGGAGACAACUGGGAUUCGUCCUCCACCACCCGGACUGAGGCAUAUCACUACACGACCACAAGGACUUAAAAAGCACAUUGGGAAUUGGGCAUUCCAAAUUGGGAGAAAAAGGGGAAAAAAUCUAAAAAAUCAAUAAAUAAAUAAACAAUUUCUACUCGCUCAACACCGGUUUCAUGUACAACAGUAAAGAGAAGACUCAAAGGUGCAGGCCUUAUGGGAAGAAUUGCAAAGAAAAAGCCACUUUUGAAACAGAAAAACAAAAAGAAAAGGCUAGAGUGGGCAAAGAAACACAGACAUUGGACAACAGAUAAUUGGAAAAGAUUGUUAAGGAUCUUAACCACAUUGAGCUUUUGUGCACUGGCACUGGUGGUUGAUGGUGUGUCUCUGACUGCUGCCGUGGACACUAUUGCACUGGUGGUUGAUGGUGUGUCUCUGACUGCUGCCAUGGACACUAUUGCACUGGUGGAUGAUGGUGUGUCUCUGACUGCUGCCGUGGGCACUAUUGCACUGGUGUUUGAUGGUGUGUCUCUGACUGCUGCCGUGGACACUAUUGCACUGGUGGUUGAUGGUGUGUCUCUGACUGCUGGCAUUUGCACUUUUGCACUGGUGGUUGAUGGUGUGUCUCUGACUGCUGGCAUUUGCACUUUUGCACUGGUGGUUGAUUGUGUGUCUCUGACCACUGGCGUUGGCACUGGUGGUUGAUGGUGUGUCUCUGACUGCUGGCGUGGGCACUGUUGCACUGGUGGUUGGUGGCAUUUUGGCUGAAGUGGGAUGCUGUUUAUGUUUACAAACAUAUGAAUGAUUUUCAAAAUCGUCUCUCCUUAAAACUGUAGCUGCUCAGUACAGACAGUGAUAAAGGAGUGGUGCUCUACAGCCCAAGCCACAUCUGUCAAAAGUAAAUAUAAAUAUUUGUGCUACAUACAGUAUAUUGACAAACCACUCAAGAUGUUUAUAUCUCCAUUGACAACUGCCUUGGAGUGGCUUUGGAGAUGCAACUUUAAUUUGUCCAGUCUUGUCGGCUUAAACACACUUGCCAUGCAAAAAGGGCACUGAAAAUUGCUGCAACAGAUUUUGCAUUGCUGCAACUGAGGUAAUGCUUGACCUCUCCAAAUUGUAAUAUGUCUCUACAAUGGGAAAAAUGCACCACACGCAAUGCUCAAUUUCGGAAAUUUUGACCAACCCACAAAAUACUUACAGUGCUCAAGAGUAUUAGUAAGCUACCAUAAACUCAAAAACCAUAGGCCUAAAUAAAACAAAACAAAAGGGAACAACCCAUAUAUAUUCAGAAAUAUAUAUUUGUAUCGCUGGUGUCGCUGUCCUUUUCUUCAUAUCGAUCUCCCCUUCGGCCUAUCGCGGCGCGAUGAUAGAUUUAUUAAGAUUUUACAAAGACAACAACUCAUUGUCAUUAGCUCCGCCCUAACUUCUGGCCUGAGACUGCUGGCCUGGCGCUGCUGGCCUGAAACUGCUGUGACAUAUGUCUCUGCGGCUCUGCAGAUGGAUAUUGUUGGAUUUCACAGCAAUGCUCAGGACAAUGUGUGAGGGAUCCUGCAGGGGUCAGCAUUGAGCUCCUGCUGGUUCCUCUGCUCGGUUUGCUUGUUUCAUAAACUCUUAUUUAAGGGUGUGCAUUAAAGGACAGAUCUGGAGGCUGUGUUUAGUCUGAUCCUGCCUGACAGUUACAUGAGAGGAACAUGUAAAGAAGAUGAGCUGGAUGAUCUGGAAGAGAGUGUUGCAGAGGAAAGGGAGGGUAGAGAUUGGGAGGAUAAUGUGUCUCAACAAAGUCUUCUUAAGAUGAAGCUUCCAGAGGCUGUCAAAUUACAGCAAAGUUUACAGUUCAUUUAAAGGGAGAGUUCACCCAAAAAUCAACAUUCUGUCAUCCUUUACUCACCCUCAUAUUGCUUGAAACAUUUACGAAUUUUUAAAUAAAAAUGCUAAGGAGUGUGGCCACGGGUGUCAAGCUCCAAAAAGGACAAAAAAGAACCAUAAAGUAGUCCAUAUGAUUUUUUACCGAAAUGUAAGUUAAGCUUUUGGGUGAACUGUCCCUUUAAUACACAAUUGUCUCCCCAUUUCUGAUUAUCUCUCUUAUAAUGUCUCCUUUUCUCCCCCUUUUCCAUCUCCUCAGGUGUGCCACCUUCUCCAGUACCCGUGUGACUACCAGGCGCAUCACAAGUAGAGGCUUUGUUGGCAUUCUCAGUUGAUUUUGUUGGUCAUCUCCAAGAUAAUCAACACUUACGGUACAAUGAAGUCAUGGGUAUCAGAUAACAUAUCUGCUACCCUCACUGCAUGCAAAACAAAAGAGUUCUGCUCUCCCCCACAGAAACAGAUCAACAUCAUGCUGAACUUCUGGGAGGAGAGUCAGAAAUGUCCUUGUCCAGAGGAGAUCCAAGAUCUGCUGUGGGAAUUCCAUCAGUAUCUAAUGAGACACUGCAGUAAGCAGCCAAUCACAGAGGAGUGUAGUUAGGAUGACCAAUGCCAUAAUUUCACUGCCCUCAGCUGGCAUCAUGAACUCUCAUAUUUAAAACAUUUAUCCCCAUGUCUGUGUGUAAUUUAGGAAUUGAUACAGAUAGCGAUUCCAAAGAUGAGGAUAAAGAUGACCUGUCAGGAAAAACCUCCAAGGCCUAGUGUAUAAAGUAAUUUGUUUCAAGAGAGAUUGUGAAUAAACUGGGUAGGGAAAACUGCCAGAAAUGUGUUUUUAUUAGGGCUGGGAAAUGUAAUGCGUAGAGGUCGACCGAUAUAUCGGUUCUGCCUAUUAAUCGACACGAUAUCAGAUAGGGCUGUAACAAUACGCAAACCGUAACCGAAAUUGCGAUACAAACAUCCACAUUCCCAUGUCGUGGUUCGAGAAGACCGAACUGCGACACGCCCCUCUCCAACCCCAGCAGCCUGCCAUCAGUUACAGUUGCAGCCCACAGUUGCCAACAGUUUCAGUGAUAAUGUCACUGAAACACACAAUCUUGGCAUCCAUGAAGCACAAUGACUCAGAUUCAACAGUUGUGAAAGAUGUCAAAACUGCCAUUUGCAUCUGACUUCCAAGAGAGAUACCCUGAUACUGACACAACACUAACCCAGUUCCUUCAUGUGAGCACUGCACUUGACCCACAUUUCAAAACUCUGCCUUCUCUGGAUGUGACCACCCAUGGCAUGAUCUUCAGGAGCCUGAUUGACAGUAUUCUGGAAGACUGUCCUCCACAGGCCCAGGCCUCCAGAGAGGAGACAGAGGAGCAAUCAGAGGUGGUAUCCAGCAGCAGUGACUGUCCUCCAGCAAAAAGAGCACCAAUCACUGAACUCUUUGGAAAAUUCUUUCCAGCGGAACAGGCACCACCACCACCCAAGCCCUUGUCUCAAGUGGUGGAGGAGGAGGUGCAGCAUUACAAGGCAGUGCAGAACCUCCCAGUGGAGUCAAAUCCGCUUAUGUGGUGGAAGGACAAUGAGAGCCAGUUUUCCCAAUUUUGCCAAGUUGGCUAAACGUUACCUUGGAGUCCCAGCCACAUCUGUCCCCAGUGAAAGGGUUUUCUCCACUGCAGGAGACAUCAUCACAGCACAGAGGGCAAGCCUCUCACCAGACACUGUGGACAUGAUGGUGUUCCUAAAGAAAAACUUUAAACUUACUUGAAUUAUGUUUACACAGAUAUGUUUUUAUUAUUUAGAUUUGUUUAAUUCUGAAGAGAGCUGUUCACAAAGAGAAAAGUUAUUUAGUUAGUUCAUGGGUUACAGCACAGACAGCUGGCCUGUUACCUCAGAGUGUGGAAGAGAAUGUAAAAUUAUUUGUUAUUUAUCACUAUUUAUUUAUUUUCCUUACAUUGUAUGUGAACAGUUAAUUUUGUUAUUUAGUGUUCAAGUCAAUCUAUGUAAUUAUGCUAUUCAUAUCCUGUUCUUCUAGUGUUCCAGAUUGUUGAACCUAUUCGUGAUUUAAUAAAGAAAAACAUUUUUUUUUUUCA